UACGGGGGGGGGCAAGCGUUGUUCGGAAUUACUGGGCGUAAAGCGCACGUAGGCGGAUUUGUUAGUCAGGGGUGAAAUCCCGGGGCUCAACCUCGGAACUGCCUUUGAUACUGCCGGACUAGAGUUCGGAAGAGGCGAGUGGAAUUCCCAGUGUAGAGGUGAAAUUCGUAGAUAUUGGGAAGAACACCGAUGGCGAAGGCAGCCAUCUGGACCGACACUGACGCUGAGGCGCGAAAGCGUGGGGAGCAAACAGG
rnacentral:rRNA from 1 species